rnacentral:misc_RNA from 1 species
AAACUGCGAUAAGUAGUGUGAAUUGCAUUUAGUGAAUCAUCGAAUCUUUGAACGCACCUUGCACUCACUGGUAUUCCGGUGAGUACGCCUGUUUCAGUAUCAUUGAAAACACACAAUCAAAACAUUUUCUUUGGUUUGAUUGGCUUUGGGUCUAUCAAAAAGUUUGGCUUGUUUCUUACAAGCCAAGCGGCCUGAAAUAUAUUGUCUGGCUAAUUGCAUCGUUGAUGAUCGCUAUUAGACUUUGGCUUUUUUAAAUGAACUGGAGGUUGAUUAACCAGUUUUAGCUUUAGUCAAAUGGUCAUUGUAGAAAAAAUCUCGAUCUUGGCUAGGUGUUUAUAGCCGAAAAUUUUUUUUUGGCUAUAACCGAAACCAAUAUAAUCACAUUUAGUUAUCGAUCUGAAAUCAGGUGGGACUACCCGCUGAACUUAAGC